UUGGAACUGAGACACGGUCCAAACUCCUACGGGAGGCAGCAGUGAGGAAUAUUGGUCAAUGGGCGGAAGCCUGAACCAGCCAAGUAGCGUGAAGGACGACUGCCCUAUGGGUUGUAAACUUCUUUUAUGCGGGGAUAACGUUCGCCACGUGUGGCGUUUUGCAGGUACCGCAUGAAUAAGGACCGGCUAAUUCCGUGCCAGCAGCCGCGGUAAUACGGAAGGUCCAGGCGUUAUCCGGAUUCAUUGGGUUUAAAGGGAGCGUAGGCCGCCUUUUAAGCGUGUUGUGAAAUGUAGGGGCUCAACCCCUGCACUGCAGCGCGAACUGGAGGGCUUGAGUACACACAAAGUAGGCGGAAUUCAUGGUGUAGCGGUGAAAUGCUUAGAUAUCAUGAAGAACCCCGAUUGCGAAGGCAGCUUACUGGAGUGUAACUGACGCUGAAGCUCGAAAGCGCGGGUAUCGAACAGGAUUAGAUACCCUGGUAGUCCGCGCGGUAAACGAUGGAUGCCCGCUGUUUGCCAAUUUGGUAAGCGGCCAAGCGAAAGCGUUAAGCAUCCCACCUGGGG
rnacentral:rRNA from 1 species